rnacentral:rRNA from 1 species
UACGUAGGGACCGAGCGUUGUCCGGAAUCAUUGGGCGUAAAGAGCGUGUAGGCGGCUUGCUAAGUCUUGCGUGAAAUCUCGGGGCUCAACCCCGAGCGGUCGUGAGAAACUGGCAGGCUAGAGUGCGGGAGAGGAGAGUGGAAUUCCUGGUGUAGCGGUGAAAUGCGCAGAUAUCAGGAAGAACACCCGUGGCGAAGGCGGCUCUCUGGAACGCAACUGACGCUGAGACGCGAAAGCGUGGGGAGCAAACAGG